ensembl:lncRNA
ACAGUUCUUACUACACAGACUUUUAGACAAAAUGCACAGGUGUUCUUCCUAUAGAGCACAUCAUUCCGCUGGUACCCAUUUUCCCUCUUUUGUACCAUUUCCACAGGUAUCCAUAAACCCCAUCCCUGGCUACAAAAAGUCAGCGUGUUUAUUCUAAAUUUUCAACUGCAGCCAUUGUGCUGUUUGUUAAGCUGGCAAAAUAAAUAAAUAAAUAAAUAAAUAAAAAAGAAAUCUAGGUUUGCCUGUGUGAUAUAUAAAUAAACAGUGACAAAGUGUUUAUCUUUUGAUUAUUAUUUUUUUAAUUAUUAUUAUAUCAUUUUCGUCUUUUUCCCUUUCUUCUUUCUCCCAAAAUGCUGGUCUCUUCUUAGCAGCUGUCCACUUCUUCAAAACCAGCCUCUGUUCUGGACUCUCCAUUUUAGUGCUUCCCAUAUCAUAUGUAUCAAAAUUACCUCACCCUGUGAAAGAGUUCAGCAUUCAGCCUUGGAAAACUAGACCCUCAGAAUAACCAGCCACUAAUUCUCUCUUCUUAUUUUACUUUCCAAUCACUCUGUUAUAAAUCUCUUAUUUUAAAAAAAAAAAAAAGAAAAAAAAAACAAAGAGAAAAAAAAAAAGAUAAAAGAAAAAAAUGGAUUAUUUUUGUUUCUUUAACUACAUAUUCAUUUACUCCCUCUCACACACCAAAAAAAAAAAAAAAAAGUGAAUUGAGACACGAGAGAAAAUAAUAUUAGCAAUGAACUGUGAGUCAGAACUGAGCCUGUGCAGAAUAUCUGCCUGGAAUUGGUGCUCUACUAACUCCAGUCCAUUACAGUUCGAUAAAGAAUACUUUCGUUAUUGCCUGCAGGAAUUCUUCUAAUAGGAUUUCAAUCCAAAAUUCAGAUUUUAAGGGAAUGAGGAAGUUGGUGAGUCAUAAGGUUUUAAUAAAUCAACUUUGGCUGAGUAUUUGCAGGAUGAUUGUACUUUCUCUUGUUUUGAUUUAAUGAAAGUGGCUGAAUUUUUCUUGGCAAUAGAUCACCAGGUCUUCAAAACAGAUCUUUUUAUAUCUAAGACCUUUAAAAAUGCCCAUCUAUUUUGCAUUAUUAGGACAAAUCAAAGCAGUGUUGAUUGUUUGUCUUCAAAAAUACCUGCAGAGUCUUUUCAGUGUCCAGGUGUUUGUGCUCAACAGGAUGGGGUACAAAUAUUUGAGCAGGAAAAGCAAGAGUCUCUUUGCCUAGGUAUGACCUUCAGGGAAAAGCAGAUGGCCAGAAAUUGUCAUCUUUCACCUCUAGUUGCAAAUGUUCCUCUAGAAAAAAUAUUAGAGGGGGUUAAAUGGUUGUCAUGAAAUAUGUGAGUGUGAGAAAAAUUUUGUGCAAUAUCACAGGCAGAUUUCAUCCCCGAUUAAUAGACUUGGGAAAUCACCAACUUGCAGAUCAUCUCCAGAAGAAUUAAUAGCAGUCAGAGAGUGUGCUCAAAGAAGACACACUGAGUAUUAAUAGACAGACUCCUACUUCAAGCUGUUAAGUUACAAUGCAAUUUGGAGGAAACAAUGGUGCCUAGGAGAAGUCAUUCAGAGCAAGGUGCAGCUGUGUGCCAUUCCUUUGUGUUGUGUCCCACCAGGGAGCAGAGCCCAGCAUGUCCCUCUGUUUCCCCUAAGAGUGCUGCAGAGCAGUGAGAACUUCUCAGCCUCUUCCACACAGGACAACCCAGGUGUGCCCAGCUCUCCUCACAGGACAUGCCUUCCAGAUCUUCUACUAGCUUAGUUGUCCUUAUUCUAAGUAGAAUAGAAGAACCACCUCUUUUGAUUGACUACCUAUGCUGUUUCUAUUAUUCAGAAUGUUAUACUAAGAAGAAAAUGAUGUUCAGAAUGUUAUAUCCUGACUCCUUAAAUUCUCCUACGUUAAUAAAAUUAGUU